ACGGCGUAGGAAUUCAUAGGAACGUACCCUCAGGACGGGGAUAGCUACGGGAAACUGUAGGUAAUACCCGAUGAUCUCCGCGGAGCAAAGGUGUGAUUCCGCCUGAGGAGCGGCUUAUGCGAUAUUAGCUAGUUGGUGGGGUAAUGGCCUACCAAGGCGAAGAUGUCUAGGGGGUGUGAGAGCAUGGCCCCCACGACCGGAACUGAGAUACUGUCCGGACACCUACGGGUGGCUGCAGUCGAGAAUCUUCCGCAAUGGACGAAAGUCUGACGGAGCGACGCCGCGUGCGGGAUGAAGGCCCUUGGGUUGUAAACCGCUUUCGGAGGGGGUGAAAUCCUCGAGGGUUCUCCCUCGAGGUUGACAGAGCCUCAAAAGAAGCACGGGCUAAGUACGUGCCAGCAGCCGCGGUAACACGUACUGUGCGAACGUUAUUCGGAAUCACUGGGCUUAAAGGGUGCGUAGGCGGCGAUUCAAGUCAGAUGUGAAAUGCCUGAGCUCAACUGAGGCAUUGCGUUUGAAACUGAAUUGCUAGAGUAUUUCAGGGGUGUGCGGAACUGCCAGUGGAGCGGUGAAAUGUGUUGA
rnacentral:rRNA from 1 species